rnacentral:rRNA from 1 species
CCUACGGGUGGCAGCAGUGAGGAAUAUUGGUCAAUGGACGAGAGUCUGAACCAGCCAAGUAGCGUGAAGGAUGACUGCCCUAUGGGUUGUAAACUUCUUUUAUAUGGGAAUAAAAUGUUCCACGUGUGUGAUUUUGUAUUUACCAUAUGAAUAAGGAUCGGCUAACUCCGUGCCAGCAGCCGCGGUAAUACGGAGGAUCCGAGCGUUAUCCGGAUUUAUUGGGUUUAAAGGGCGCGUAGGUGGAUUGUUAAGUCAGUUGUGAAAGUUUGCGGCUCAACCGUAAAAUUGCAGUUGAAACUGGCAGUCUUGAGUACAGUAGAGGUGGGCGGAAUUCGUGGUGUAGCGGUGAAAUGCUUAGAUAUCACGAAGAACUCCGAUUGCGAAGGCAGUUCACUGGACUGCAACUGACACUGAGGCUCGAAAGUGUGGGUAUCAAACAGGAUUAGAUACCCGUGUAGUC